AUUGAACGCUGGCGGCAGGCCUAACACAUGCAAGUCGAACAAGUGGCGGACGGGUGAGUAAUGUCUGGGAAACUGCCUGAUGGAGGGGGAUAACUACUGGAAACGGUAGCUAAUACCGCAUACCAUCGGAUGUGCCCAGAUGGGAUUAGCUAGUAGGUGGGGUAAAGGCUCACCUAGGCGACGCUCCCUAGCGGGUCUGAGAGGAUGACCAGUAACAUUGGAACUGAGACACGGUCCAGACGCCUACGGUAGGCAGCAGGGGGGAAUAGUGCACAAUGGGCGCAAGCCUGAUGCAGCCAUGCCGCGUGUAGGAAGAAGGCCUUCGGGUUGUAAAGUACGUUCAGCGGGGAGGCGUUACCCGCAGAAGAAGCACCGGCUAACUCCGUGCCAGCAGCCGCGGUAAUUC
rnacentral:rRNA from 1 species